rnacentral:rRNA from 1 species
UACGUAGGGGGCAAGCGUUAUCCGGAUUUACUGGGUGUAAAGGGAGCGUAGACGGAUUAGCAAGUCUGAUGUGAAAGGCAGGGGCUCAACCCCUGGACUGCAUUGGAAACUGUCAGUCUUGAGUGCCGGAGAGGUAAGCGGAAUUCCUAGUGUAGCGGUGAAAUGCGUAGAUAUUAGGAGGAACACCAGUGGCGAAGGCGGCUUACUGGACGGCAACUGACGUUGAGGCUCGAAAGCGUGGGGAGCAAACAGG